CAACCUCCUCACAGUUCUAGUUGCCCAGAAACCCAGUCCUUGUCCCAGCUCAGGGCAAUAGAGUAGUUUGUCUAAGCAUGCUUCUCUGGGCCACUUAUGGAUACUUCCUCUCCAGUUUGCAAUAAUUCUAUGUGGAACCUCAAGGUCCACGAAAAAGGCCCAAUGGUGGUCACUUUGCCAUAACAUCAGUGAAACUUACAUACAAGGUGUUGCAGGCUGGGUCCAUAGGAAGCACGUGAAGAAUAGCUUGCAGGAAGUUGUUGAGGAAUGCUCUCAGAAUGAACACUAACAGAGAAAGGGCAGGAAGCAGGACUGAAGGAAGAGGGUAAGGGUGAGUAAUAGUGUGAGUAAAGACAUGGAGACAGGAAUAAAAUCAAUCUGUUUGAUCGCAAUGUAGGAUGACAUCAGAACAACAGGAUAAAGCCUGCAAAAGGAUAUUGAGGCAAGAUAGUUGGAGAUGAUAUCAAGAGCCAGGUUAAAGUUUUGAGCCAAUAAAGAAUGCUGAACAAGAGAGGAAUCUAAAUUCCAAGAGUGAACAGGAAUGUUGAAGCCAUGGGAAACUCUAAGGAGGAAGACCUGAGGAGAUACAGGGCAGAAAAAGUAUUUGUUUUCAGGCAAAAGCAAGCCUCCAAAAGCCCCUUGGUUCUUCUCUAUGUGUCUCGCCCCUUCUGCCUUGUACACCAGACUGCCGGCAAGCAAGCGGGGAGGUAGAGAACAGCUGGGAUCCUCCAGUGAAAAGGUUGCUCAGCGCGAGAGAUGUCAAGAGGCUGGGAUUGUCGCCCAUCGGGAGAAGAAUUCCACAGAUGAAUUGGUUCUGCCCUGUAUCUUUGAAUGGUUUUUAUUUUCUGAUGUCCAGUGUGGCAGCCUGGCAGAGACAUUUAGUUGAAAGAACACGGGGCUCUGGAAACAACCAGUCCUCCUUGGUUCAUAUUCUCGUGUUGUCACUUAUUAACCGAGUGACAUUGGGUAAGUUCUUUUGUCCCUUUGAGCUAGUGUCUUCAUUCCAAUAACUAUUCCUACCAUCUGAGUUUGCUAAUGGGUCUCAGGGAGAUGUAAGACAUAUAUCACUUGGUACCUCAUUUCAUUUCUCUGAUAGCAGAAAGUGGGAAGAUCAUGACCAGUCAAGGGGCCUCUGAGUCAAUCACGAUUUUUCCUUCUGCAGAGUGUAAUACCUUCUUUUCUUCCUGCCACAGAAAAAAACCACACUUGCUGAGCCAAAGAAGACCUUUCUGUUUUUUGAAUAGCUUUGACUAGGUACAUUUCUUGAAAAGGAUUCUUCUUUGGCAGGAGAAGCCCAGAUUUGAGGUCCCAUGGUCCAGGAGGCAUCUCGUAUACCUCUGUUGGUAUGCCUACUGUCCCAUUUUAUUGACAUCUCUCAGCAGAGUGGGAGAUAAGAGGAGAUGAUGCUGGAAUUCUUUCUGAGUAUCAGUCUAGCAUUGGCGGAGGGUCAAAAAACUGUAAUAAAACUCUCUAAGGAUUUGUCUAAUUCAAUAACUUAGAUCUGAGCCAACUAUCAUCUCCUUGGAGAAGACUUCCCUGACCGUAUGAUCAAAAUUACUUCCCCCAGUCACCCUCUAGUCAUCAGUGUUCUUUUAUCCUCAUCCCAGCACUCACCACUCUCUGAAAUUACUUGCUUAUUUAUAUGUGUACUUGUUUAUGUUUCUUGUUUGUUCCCUCCACUGAAACAAACUCUAUGACAGCUCUUAUUUUCUUUUCUAAGCCUCAUUGCUUAGAACAGUGUAUGACAAAAGUAGGCCCCCAAUAAAUAUUGUUACAUAAAUAAUUAGACUAUAGAUCUCACUAAUGUUGGAAAUGACCCCAGCAUCUAUAAAGGAAUGAAUAUAGCAAAAGAUAUAGUUCUGGCUGGGCUCAGCUAAUCUCACCUGGUUCAUCUACCUGGCUGGGCGUGUAUGGCAGGGCAGAAUUUCUUUUUUAGAUUCGAACUGCA
rnacentral:lncRNA from 1 species